rnacentral:lncRNA from 1 species
GGGGUAUAAAAAGAAGAUGGCAGUCUUCGGAAGGCUUGCUUUACUGGUGAUUCUCAACCAGUUGCAACAAAAAGCCAGAAACCAUAACUGAAGGAGACAGAAAUUCACUGCUCAUCAGUGGUUUCCCCUUCCAAAUGAUCUGAAUCUUGUUGGAUGCCGUAACAGGUAGAAGAAUAGGAGAAGAAGAAAGGCAGGCACAUUUUCACCCAAAGAAAUCUCUCUGCUUAAUCUAGUUGUCAAACUGUUCUACCAUUUACCUCAGAACAACAAAUUAUUUGUGGUGAAACAUCAGUGUCAACAUGAGACACAUCUCCAUUGAGUUUGAGCUGUUCCUCUUCCUUUUCUUCACCUAGGUCUUGCUUAAUUUCCUCUGACAAAUUCUUCUCCUCUGUAGGUAUCGCAGUUGCAUUUUCCUGAACCAAAUCUUCAGCUGCAACUUGUGUGCACUCAGCUGGUACAGUUAGCUGACUGACUUCUAGCGUGGCUUCCACAUGCUGUAUCUUUUCUUCAUGUUCUUUCCUUUUCACAUCUUCCUCUUCUUCCUGUUCUUCUCUGAUGACUUCCUCAACAGCCCUGUGAUGUGGCUGGUAUUCUCCCACCUCUUCAUCCUCACUCUCACUACUACUGCUGCUACUACUAUCUGAUGGCAAAGAAGAAGAGUCCUUUUUUGGCAAGUGCUCCACCUUACAUGUUUCCCCAGCAUCAGUGGCAACUUGUAUUUUCCCUUUGUUGGUUUCAUCUAUGACUAGUGUUUCUUCUAUCCCAACCUCUGCCUGCUUCUUCUCCUCCACUAUGUCCAGAGUCUCAUGUGAACUCUUUCCAUCCUGAAUCAACUCUAAUUGUGGAGUUUUGAGUGGGCUUCCAUCAUCUUCUCUGCCACCUUCUUUCAACUUGGCUUCUCCAGCAGCUGCAAGGUCAAUGAUCUUGUCUCCUCCAGGCUGCCCUCUUGUACGGAAGUCUCUUAGCAGACUUUGG